rfam:Triticum aestivum genome assembly, contig: Triticum_aestivum_CS42_TGACv1_scaffold_375625_5AL
AGCUGUACAUGUAGCCAAGGAUGAAUUGCCAGCGUUUCGUUUCGUUGAGCUCGGUCGUCGGAGUGGUUCGUCGCGCUGGCAAGUCAUUUCUGGCUACGUGUUUGCCUCG